CAAAAGGAUAAAUCCUAAUAUUUUUCAUUUAACAUCAACAUCUGUCUCUUAGGAAUUGCCAAAGGGUACAUUUCUCCUGAGGAGGGGCCCCAGGAUUCAGGCAAAGAGGCAUCUGGGAGAAAUGCUGGUGGCAGGUGCUUUCCAGCCAUUAGGAUUCCAAAAGGAACCAGACUUUGUUAAAAGAGGAGGUGAAUCUGGACCCGGACACACACAGGCGGAACCCUGCCUGGUGAGAAAGCCAGACACAGCCGUGGUGCUUCCACAGGCCAGGAGAUGCCAGCCACUGGCAACAGCCCGCCAGAAGCGAGGCCAGAGGCAGAGGCUCUUCCUCAGAGCGCCCAGAGGACCAGAUGCAGCCUCUACCCCUUCAUCUUGUUCUUCUGGCUUCCAGAACCCUGAGACAGCACACUGCUGUUAUCUUCCUGCUGAAGCACCUGGGGAGCAGCAGAUGAUGACUCAAGCGCUGGGGCCCCUGCCGUCCACGUGCGAGACCUGGAUGGAGUUCCUGGUUCCUGGCUUCUGCCUGACCUAAACCUGCCUGUUACGGCUAUUUGGAGAACAAACCAGUGGAUGGAAGACCUCUCUCUCUCUCUCUCUUUCUCUCUCUAUCAGUUUGCUUUUUAAAUAGAAGAAAACAGACAUUUUAGGAAAAAAAAUCCCAAUAUUUAAAUUGGAAAUUGUAUCAUUUACAAGGAUGAAGACUGGCAGCUAAGGCAGAAAUGAGUGAAGGAGCGUACCCGGUUCAGAGCAGCAUCGUUCACAAACACGGGAGACCCAGAAGAGGCUCCUGGCUCCUGGCUCCUGGCUCCUGGCUUUGGACCGGCGCAGCGCCGGCCAUGGCAGCCAUCUGGGGAGUGAACCAACGGAUGGAAGACCUCUCUCUCUGUCUCUGUCUCUCUCACUGUCUGUAACUCUGCCUCUCAAAUAAAUUAAUAAAAUAUUUUUUAAAAGUAGCUAAAACACAAAAGCAACUGAGUGGCCACCGACAAAAGGAAAAAGGAAGGAAAUCCCGACACCUGCUGUGACGUGGGGGAGCCUGGAGGACACGGUGCUGAGAGUCACAGCACGACAAAUCCUGUGUGCUCCCACUCGUGGGAGGCGCUGGCGGUAGUCAGAAGCACAGAGACGGAGGCAGAAUGGUUCUUUUGGGAGGGGAGGGGCUGGGGAAUGGGGAGUUAUCGUGUGAGGGUAGAGUUUCAGUUUUGCAAGAUGAAAGAUCUGGAAACGGAGGGUAGUGCUGGUUACAGAGGCGUGUGGAUGUCUUCAGGGCCACUCAACUGGAUACUUACCACAGUGAAAAACAACUUUGAAGAAAUGCAGGAAGGCUGGUCUGGGCGCUGCUGGGCAUGGGUGAAGCCACUGGGAUGGCCGCACUCUCUACCAGAGGGCCAGGGCUUGAGUGCCAUCCCACUUCAAAGCCAGCUUCCUGCCAGCGCUCACCCUGGGAAACAGUACUUGGGUCCUUGCCAGCCACUUGGGAGAACUGAAUGGAGUCCCUGGCUCUUGGCUUCAGCCUGGCCCUAGGCUGGCUGUUGUGGGGAUUUGGGGAGUGAAUCAGCACAUGGAAGACCUCUGUCUGUGUGUCUCUUGUUGCCUUUCAAAUAAAUAAAAAUCAAUAACCUUUAGUGCAUGGUCUUUGCUAUUUUAGGAGGAACACAGGA